AUUGAACGCUGGCGGCAGGCCUAACACAUGCAAGUCGAACGCGUGGCGGACGGGUGAGUAAUGUCUGGGAAACUGCCCGAUGGAGGGGGAUAACUACUGGAAACGGUAGCUAAUACCGCAUACCAUCGGAUGUGCCCAGAGUGGAUUAGCUAGUAGGGGGGGUAACGGCUCACCUAGGCGACGAUCCCUAGCGGGUCUGAGAGGAUGACCAGCAACCCGGGUACUGAGACACGGUCCAGACUCCUACGGGAGGCAGCAGUGGGGAAUAUUGCACAAUGGGCGCAAGCCUGAUGCAGCCAUGCCGCGUGUAUGAAGAAGGCCUUCGGGUUGUAAAGGACUUUCAGCGUGGAGGCGUUACUCGCAGAAGAAGCACCGGCUAACUCCGUGCCAGCAGCCGCGGUAAUUC
rnacentral:rRNA from 1 species